rnacentral:rRNA from 1 species
UACGGAGGAUGCGAGCGUUAUCCGGAUUUAUUGGGUUUAAAGGGUGCGUAGGCGGACGCUUAAGUCAGCGGUAAAUUGCGGGGCUCAACCUCGUCGAGCCGUUGAAACUGGGUGCCUUGAGUGGGCGAGAAGUACGCGGAAUGCGUGGUGUAGCGGUGAAAUGCAUAGAUAUCACGCAGAACUCCGAUUGCGAAGGCAGCGUACCGGCGCCCAACUGACGCUGAAGCACGAAGGCGUGGGUAUCGAACAGG